rnacentral:tRNA from 1 species
GGAAGUGUGCCCGAAAGUUAA